CGCCCGGCUCCUCAGGCGGGAAGGCUGUAGCUGAGGCCAGAGCUCCUGCGAACCUUGAGCGGGCGGUCCUGUCAGCCCGCGCUCCGAGUGUGGUUGUACCAGUCUGUUAACAGGUGUUCUGAAUCAGGAAGGCCGUUGUGCCUCCUGGAGUGCUGUUUUGGACUGGCGCCUGUCUCAUUUUCUUGGGCUCCUCCUCGCUGGCAUCUGUAGCGGCGAAGGUGGGUCUGCCGGCUGCGCGGCUUGGGUCCGGGUCUUGGCAUCCUGGCGUUUUUGCGGGGAUUUUACCACCUGUGCUUUGCCAAAUAUGCACGCAGCGGCUAGCGAGGACACUCCUCCGAUGCCAUUCCAGACUUUGAUGCUGAGCUCCCGCUUCAGCUCCCGGGAAAGGAAUCACAGAUGCCAGAAACCGGCUUUAAGACAAGGAGCAGAAACUAUAGAUGAAAGGACCUAGAAGCAACAAUACCCUAGUAGAAAUGUGCACACCUAAUGUCCAGAUCUUGGUUUCUAAUACCAUUCCCUGCUAAAAAGAACUAGGGCUCUGUGGAAAAUGGUUGAUUC
rnacentral:lncRNA from 1 species